UACGUAGGGGGCAAGCGUUGUCCGGAAUCAUUGGGCGUAAAGCGCGCGUAGGCGGUCCGUUAAGUGCACAAGUGAAAGCUCCUGGCUCAACCAGGAAAUUGCUUUGCAUACUGGCGGGCUGGAGGGACGCAGAGGUCUGUGGAAUUCCUGGUGUAACGGUGAAAUGUGUUGAUAUCAGGAGGAACACCCAUGGCGAAGGCAGCAGACUGGGCGUUUCCUGACGCUGAGGCGCGAAAGCGUGGGUAGCAAACAGG
rnacentral:rRNA from 1 species